rnacentral:rRNA from 1 species
AUUGAACGCUGGCGGCAUGCCUUACACAUGCAAGUCGAACGGUAACGGGCCUUCGGGUGCCGACGAGUGGCGAACGGGUGAGUAAUGCAUCGGAACGUACCUUUCAGUGGGGGAUAACGUAGCGAAAGUUACGCUAAUACCGCUUAUUCUGUGAGCAGGAAAGCAGGGGAUCGCAAGACCUUGCGCUGAUUGAGCGGCCGAUGUCAGAUUAGCUAGUUGGUGAGGUAAAGGCUCACCAAGGCGACGAUCUGUAGCGGGUCUGAGAGGAUGAUCCGCCACACUGGAACUGAGACACGGUCCAGACUCCUACGGGAGGCAGCAGUGGGGAAUUUUGGACAAUGGGGGCAACCCUGAUUCAGCCAUGCCGCGUGAGUGAAGAAGGCCUUCGGGUUGUAAAGCUCUUUCGGUCGGGAAGAAAUCGCAUGGGUUAAUACCCUGUGCGGAUGACGGUACCGGCAUAAGAAGCACCGGCUAACUACGUGCCAGCAGCCGCCGUAAGAC